UAACCAUUCACAAAUCUUUUUUCCAAAUCAAUUUUCGUGGAACUGUAUAUAUUCCCACAGAUGGGCUUCUGCUUUUUUCCAAGAGAUGGUUUGCAGGGGAGGUGGUUUCAAACUAAUGACUCGCCCUAAGGAGAAAAUGCAGCUUCAUUCAUGUAACAAUUGAAACCAUUAGGAUAGUCAUAGAGUGCAUACAGACUGGGUAUAAAGAAGUACUUGCAUGUUAUUAGAAAAAUGAGUACUGCUGAUUUUUGGAGCUUGUGAAGGUCACCUCUUUUUUUUUUUUUUUUUUUUAACUUUAGAUUUCCCGUACAUGUACUGGAGUAACAAUUAUCUACCUAUAAGACAUCUGAUACAUAAGCAUAAUGGAAGGAAUAUUGCUGAUAUGAUAUCAGGAGGUUUCUUCUGACAUUUACAAGUUUUAAAACUUCUAUAAUAUGUCCAGCUCAGUUGAGCUUUAGUCCCUGAGUACUGAUUGCUGCAACUAUUCUGUCUCCUGAUGAAGACAGUCUAAUGAGCAUUUUUAUACGUAUUAAAAAUCUUCCUUUAUUUGCAAUUUUUUGUCCAAAAGACCCAACGAAGGGUUAUGAAGAAGACUCAGAUGAUGGAUAACCUUUCUUUGUAGUGCUUUUUGCUGGCAAAAUUUAGUUGUCUUUCCAGACUUUGGCAUCUGUCAUUUACCCCUACAAAGUCAGAAAUCCCCUCUUAACAUGCAUAGUUAGUCAGUGAGGUGUGCUAAAAAGAGAUUAAAGAGAUCAAAUAAGAGUUUAUUUUAGAGAGCAAUACAAAUGUCAACAACCUGUCAACAAAGUGCAGGCAAUUUUAAUUUGGCAAGCUCUGUACAAAUCCAAUCACCAUUUGGAACUCCAGGAGGAUUGUUCUACCUUGAUGAGUAACAAGAUACAUUGGAAUGUGCUUGGGAUUGUUCUUUCAGCCCUGGCAGAUCAUAAAGUGACCAUUCUACCACUGUGAUGCCAGAAGCCUCCUGCCUUCGGAAGUUAUGAAAUAGACUGAUCCUGCGCCACGGUAGUUAUGUGCAACAAAGCCUGAUUUCUAUGGACUUUCAAGGAAGUAAUUGAGCAAAUAAUUCAGCUCUGAGAAUGUGAGAGCAAUGACAAAUCUUACUGGGUUAGAGGCAAUUGUAGGUGACAAGCUGUUUUACAAUGAAGCCACUUGUAUUCAGAACUUCUGAUCCUGGUUGACGAGUGUAAUUUUAGCUACACAGGCUUAAAGUUUUUAAUUUAAAUUCAGGAGGGGCUUACCCACUGAAUUUCUCUUGUGGAAAUGGAUUUCCAGGCUGGGAAAAACUCUAGCUCUUAGGCAGUUUUCCCAUUUACUAAGUAUAGCUGUUCAUUUUAAUUUGCAUAAAGAACAUGGAUAUGUAAGUCUCCAAUUACUUUAAAAGCAGUAUUUCAACAGAUACAGUGAAGUAAUUAGUUUAAUGAGGAAAUGUCAUUACAUAGUGGAAAGCUUGGUUUGCCAAGGAUCAAUUUGUUGACAUUUGAAUCCAACUAGAAAUGAAAUGCACAGAACAAAAAGUAAACGAUUUUAGUAAAAGCCACCUCGUCCGUUUGGAACAAAUGGAAAGUAUGUCUGCUUCUCCACCAGAGGGGCUAAGUAAGGGGGUUUUCUGCAUUAGAAGACUUACAAAUGAUCGUUUAAAAUAUGAAGAGAGUAGGAAAGUUUAUUGUGCAAACGUGGGGAGUCAACAAGUUCCUUUUGUGAAAAGUAGAAUAAUUAUUUCCAGAAUACAUUUUUCAUAUAUAUAAAAUGAGGAUAUUUAUUACUUACAUCUUUUCAGAAUUGUGAAGCCUAAUUCAGAAACAUCUGGUAAUGUCUCUGAAAUUCGCAAUUAGGGCAGCAAAUAUCCUAACUUUUAUAUCUGGAUUUCAUUUGCUUGACUGUUAACCAUUAUUGAUACGCUGUCAUAUAAAUUCUUCGUAUCUCCCAUACAAAUAAAGCACAAGAUAUUGCUCUAAGAACUUUCCUGUCUAUACUGGAGAUUACAGCAGUAAUAAAUCAAGUUAUAACAACGAAAAAUAACUACAUAGGAAAGCAGUAAAGAAUAUAGCCAUGAGAGGUAACAAAACAGUUUCUGUUAUGUACGUAUUUUAUUAGUCCACCCAAAUAGCCGAAAUGGCAAGAUGCCUUUUACCAGGAAGAAGGCAGUCUUCCUCAGUGUACAAAAUGAAUGUGAACACUGCUGAUACAGCAGGCAAAUGUGGAAUUACCUUAAAUGUCUACAACACAGUGAUUUUCAGUUCUUGAAAAUUACAUUCUUGAAGAUUAUACAAUCACUUUACCAACAAAAGCUUGGAUUUAAAAUAUAUGGCCAAAAAUGAAAAUUAUAUUUUGUAUUUUUCUUUGCAUAAUUUAAAUAGCUAGCAUUAAUAUUUAUUGUCAAGAAUCAUUAAUCCCUAUUUUAAUUAAAUGGAAUGGUGGUAUCUAAGAUCAUUCAUGUCAGUGUUGUAUAAACACUCAGAUAUAAGCUAGCAAUGGUUCACUUUGUCCUCUGGAGAUUGUAUAAUCAUGCC
ensembl:lncRNA